rnacentral:rRNA from 1 species
UCUGUGUGACUGCGUACCUUUUGUAUAAUGGGUCAGCGACUUAUAUUCUGUAGCAAGGUUAACCGAAUAGGGGAGCCGAAGGGAAACCGAGUCUUAACUGGGCGUUAAGUUGCAGGGUAUAGACCCGAAACCCGGUGAUCUAGCCAUGGGCAGGUUGAAGGUUGGGUAACACUAACUGGAGGACCGAACCGACUAAUGUUGAAAAAUUAGCGGAUGACUUGUGGCUGGGGGUGAAAGGCCAAUCAAACCGGGAGAUAGCUGGUUCUCCCCGAAAGCUAUUUAGGUAGCGCCUCGUGAAUUCAUCUCCGGGGGUAGAGCACUGUUUCGGCAAGGGGGUCAUCCCGACUUACCAACCCGAUGCAAACUGCGAAUACCGGAGAAUGUUAUCACGGGAGACACACGGCGGGUGCUAACGUCCGUCGUGAAGAGGGAAACAACCCAGACCGCCAGCUAAGGUCCCAAAGUCAUGGUUAAGUGGGAAACGAUGUGGGAAGGCCCAGACAGCCAGGAUGUUGGCUUAGAAGCAGCCAUCAUUUAAAGAAAGCGUAAUAGCUCACUGGUCGAGUCGGCCUGCGCGGAAGAUGUAACGGGGCUAAACCAUGCACCGAAGCUGCGGCAGCGACGCUGAUGCGUUGUUGGGUAGGGGAGCGUUCUGUAAGCCUGUGAAGGUGUGCUGUGAGGCAUGCUGGAGGUAUCAGAAGUGCGAAUGCUGACAUAAGUAACGAUAAAGCGGGUGAAAAGCCCGCUCGCCGGAAGACCAAGGGUUCCUGUCCAACGUUAAUCGGGGCAGGGUGAGUCGACCCCUAAGGCGAGGCCGAAAGGCGUAGUCGAUGGGAAACAGGUUAAUAUUCCUGUACUUGGUGUUACUGCGAAGGGGGGACGGAGAAGGCUAUGUUGGCCGGGCGACGGUUGUCCCGGUUUAAGCGUGUAGGCUGGUUUUCCAGGCAAAUCCGGAAAACUAAGGCUGAGGCGUGAUGACGAGGCACUACGGUGCUGAAGCAACAAAUGCCCUGCUUCCAGGAAAAGCCUCUAAGCAUCAGGUAACAUCAAAUCGUACCCCAAACCGACACAGGUGGUCAGGUAGAGAAUACCAAGGCGCUUGAGAGAACUCGGGUGAAGGAACUAGGCAAAAUGGUGCCGUAACUUCGGGAGAAGGCACGCUGAUAUGUAGGUGAAGUCCCUCGCGGAUGGAGCUGAAAUCAGUCGAAGAUACCAGCUGGCUGCAACUGUUUAUUAAAAACACAGCACUGUGCAAACACGAAAGUGGACGUAUACGGUGUGACGCCUGCCCGGUGCCGGAAGGUUAAUUGAUGGGGUCAGCGCAAGCGAAGCUCUUGAUCGAAGCCCCGGUAAACGGCGGCCGUAACUAUAACGGUCCUAAGGUAGCGAAAUUCCUUGUCGGGUAAGUUCCGACCUGCACGAAUGGCGUAAUGAUGGCCAGGCUGUCUCCACCCGAGACUCAGUGAAAUUGAACUCGCUGUGAAGAUGCAGUGUACCCGCGGCAAGACGGAAAGACCCCGUGAACCUUUACUAUAGCUUGACACUGAACAUUGAGCCUUGAUGUGUAGGAUAGGUGGGAGGCUUUGAAGUGUGGACGCCAGUCUGCAUGGAGCCGACCUUGAAAUACCACCCUUUAAUGUUUGAUGUUCUAACGUUGACCCGUAAUCCGGGUUGCGGACAGUGUCUGGUGGGUAGUUUGACUGGGGCGGUCUCCUCCUAAAGAGUAACGGAGGAGCACGAAGGUUGGCUAAUCCUGGUCGGACAUCAGGAGGUUAGUGCAAUGGCAUAAGCCAGCUUGACUGCGAGCGUGACGGCGCGAGCAGGUGCGAAAGCAGGUCAUAGUGAUCCGGUGGUUCUGAAUGGAAGGGCCAUCGCUCAACGGAUAAAAGGUACUCCGGGGAUAACAGGCUGAUACCGCCCAAGAGUUCAUAUCGACGGCGGUGUUUGGCACCUCGAUGUCGGCUCAUCACAUCCUGGGGCUGAAGUAGGUCCCAAGGGUAUGGCUGUUCGCCAUUUAAAGUGGUACGCGAGCUGGGUUUAGAACGUCGUGAGACAGUUCGGUCCCUAUCUGCCGUGGGCGCUGGAGAACUGAGGGGGGCUGCUCCUAGUACGAGAGGACCGGAGUGGACGCAUCACUGGUGUUC